UACGGGGGGAGCAAGCGUUGUUCGGAUUUACUGGGCGUAAAGGGCGCGUAGGCGGUCAGCACAAGUCAGUUGUGAAAUCUCCGGGCUUAACUCGGAAAGGUCAACUGAUACUGUGCGACUAGAGUGCAGAAGGGGCAACUGGAAUUCUCGGUGUAGCGGUGAAAUGCGUAGAUAUCGAGAGGAACACCAGUGGCGAAGGCGGCAUCCUGGUCUGCGACUGACGCUGUGGCGCGAAAGCUAGGGGAGCGAACGGG
rnacentral:rRNA from 1 species